UGGGAAUGCUCUGAAGGCAGGACCCGUGUCUGCGGUGUUUCAGACUCCAGGGAGUGAGUUCUCCGUCUCUGGAGGACUCGGCCUACAGGGUUCGCUUUGUCCCGGGCAUCCUGUGCCUCUUCCGCACCUGGCUGACUCCCACAUCAGGACAAAGGUUUGUCGAGUUCUGCUCCCUGGCUCCCUGGCAGCCCGUCCGGCUCCCGCAG
rnacentral:lncRNA from 1 species